AGGAGAAUUAGUGAAACCAGUGGUCAGUGUCAAUACUGUCAGUACUGAUGGGACUGUCACUGUGGUCUGUCAGAUCAACACAUCUAUGGAGAAGAAAGUCACAUGUUGUUACCUGUACACUGGAGACACACCUGAGCCCUUCAAUUCAACAUGGACUAAAUCAACAGUGUGUAAUUUUUACAUAAAUUCUGAUGAUCUCGAGAGGCGUUUCCAGACUGUGGGCAGCAGGGAUGUGAGCUGUGAUUACAGUGUGGAAACAGACACACAGCAUCUCUCUCCACGCAGUGACAGCUAUUCUGUACCAGAGAAGAAACAGAGGACAACUCCCAGGAGCACAACGAAAAUCACCGAUAAGAGCACAACAACUGCCAGGAGCACAGAGAAAAAUAAGAAACAGAGGACAACUUCCAGGAGCACAGUGAAAAUCACCGAUAAGAGCACAACAACUGCCAGGAGCACAGAGAAAAUGACAGAUGAGAAACAGGGAACAACUUCCAGGAGCACAACGAAAAGUACAAUGACACUUUCAGUAAAAAUUCGAAUCGGUAUUACCAUCGCCGUGCUCUUGCUGGGGGUGCCAGCUGUCUAUGCUUUCUGGAGACCCAGAAAGCAAGUGUCUAUCAGGGUUUGUCAGUCCUGCUGUCUGAUGGAACCUCCCUCUACUCACAAGCAGUGCAAUGAUUUAGCAAUGGACUCUCUAUGUAAAGGUGUGGAAAUGGGAACUGGUGGACCAGCAACACAGCUAAACAGCAACAGAGACAGUUAA
rnacentral:lncRNA from 1 species